GGAGGGGUUCCCGAGCGGUCAAAGGGAGCAGACUGUAAAUCUGCCGUCUACGACUUCGAAGGUUCAAAUCCUUCCCCCUCCACCA
rnacentral:tRNA from 2 species